rnacentral:rRNA from 1 species
UACGUAGGGUGCGAGCGUUGUCCGGAAUUAUUGGGCGUAAAGGCUCGUAGGCGGUUUGUCACGUCGGGAGUGAAAACUCGGGGCUUAACCCCGAGCCUGCUUCCGAUACGGGCAGACUAGAGGUAUGCAGGGGAGAACGGAAUUCCUGGUGUAGCGGUGAAAUGCGCAGAUAUCAGGAGGAACACCGGUGGCGAAGGCGGUUCUCUGGGCAUUACCUGACGCUGAGGAGCGAAAGUGUGGGGAGCGAACAGG